rnacentral:lncRNA from 1 species
ACAGACUUUCUUUUGAGUGAUUUCUGGCUCUGAGAACCCUCUUUACUCACUAUAAAAGAACUUUAUUUAAAUGACCAAUUUUGUCCCCCAGAAAAAGAAAUUUUAGAAAGAGAAAAAUGGGACACUAAAGGCAGAACCAUGUGACUUGGUGUCAAACAAAAGGAAAGGGGCGCAUCAGAAUUUCAAUAGGCUCCCUAAUUUCACAGAAAAGCAAGGCAACCCAGUGCCUCUCGGUCUGGAGCAUGUAAAGAGUGCUUGAGCUGACCUGCCAUCAGGCUCCCCCUGUGCCAGAGGCAACCUCAUGGGGGGAGCAGCGGCAGCUGCUUUCUCUUCUGUGUUUUCAUGAAGAAAGGGCCUGUUCUCCUAGGUGCCCAGGAAGUAGAUGACCCAGGGCAAACUUUCCAAAGCAGUCUCUACCCUGUGCUCAGACCACGUAUGGCAACAGAAAAGGGGCACCUCGGAGGCGCUCUUGCCCUAGAGAGAGGAUAUUUUCAUAUUCCCAAGAGCUGUUUGUGUAGUUUGCAUUUCAGAUACUGCUUAAAUCUCCCCAAGAAGGAAAGCUGUGAUGACUCAGUGUUCCUGUAAGCACAAAGCCUGGAAAUUACAAACCCAAAGCAUCAUUUCUGGCACUAGGUACUAAGACGAUUAGCCUGACCAGAACACCCCAAAGAUUUUUCUAAGUCUCUGAAUAUUUUUUUUCUUCUGGAACACCGAAUCCAUAGCGGUCAGCAGUACCCAUUAACAGAUCCCAGAAGAUGGUGUGACACACUAGUGUCUGUUUCAAUUCUUUCUAGAGUAAAGAGGUAGAAGAUGAGGGCUACACAGGUUUCUUUUCAGGCCUGUGUGUUUUACUGAACGAGGGGUGAAAAUGAUGCCCUGAGUUGAAACAAGAAACAUCACUUUUUCACACCGCUGGCCGAAAUGCCUAGGUUCCAGUGGUUCUUCAGGCCCAGCCUAUUGCUCCAAAAACCGAAUACUUUCAGACUAAAUCUAAUCUGAAGUGACCUCAGUUAAAGUAUUUUGGCAGGAAGCCACUUAUAGUAAAGAAUUACUGCCUUAAAUCAGAAAGCCCAGGGAAGAGAAUAGAAGAUAGAGAAACUGUAAGGGUGUGAAGACAUGGCCAUUUCUUGCUUCUUAAUGGUUAUAUUAUCAAAAAAAAUGAGCCCCACUCGUGACUGAAAAUGAUGGAAACAGUGACUUUGGGGGGAGGCACCAAACUUGUCCAGAACUGGCUACACUCAGGAAGUGGCUGCUAUUUCCUGUCCUAUCUCAGUGACAUAGGUCUGGGCUGGAUAGAAAACAGACAUCCUAUUAGCCAAAUAGUGAGUUGCAUAAGACAGGAUCACAGGUGCCUAAGAUGCCAGUUUUAAUCAUGUGCUUAACAGGGAGAACAAUCUCAGCAAAAAGCUUUCUUUUCCUGUACAGUGUAUAUCUCUGAACUUUUUUUUUUUUUUCUCAGUUUCAGUGAGCAUCUGGUUUAUCUGGUGGUUCUUUGUUGAAAUGCAAACUCACAACUUUCGAGUCUUCAGUGAAGGAGCACAGUCUGCAGAUUGGAGGGAAAUUUUUGCCACAGUUCCGGGAGUCCUGGCUCUUGAGAUGCCUAAUUAGGGUAUAAAAAGUCCCUAACUAGCCCUCUUGCCAGCUCAGAGGUUUCCUUGAUUCAAAAUGCUUCAAUGAGAUUCUGAUACACCCAAGACAGGAAAAAAAAAAUUAACCCCCUAGAAGACAUCUGUUUCUACUACUUUUGCAACAGAAGUUUGCUAUUGCCCAGCAAAAUCAUUACAAUUUAUAUGUAGAUUCUAGUAAUGAAAGGGACUUAACCCAUCUAGUAUGUCACAGCUGCUGUCCAAAAUGUCUGUAAAUGAGUACAUAUUAUGCAUGUACACACGCAGUGUGGGGUGCUCUCACCACCACACUAUUCCACAUGCAUAGUCCCCAGCAACAAGAUAGAGUCUGGAAUUUCUAGUUAGUCAAAGAUCUCGCAUAUCUCAUUUAUCUGCUUCUGCUCUGUUGCCUUAGUUGGGUGCACAAGUGCCGCCCACUAUCUGUGAUGAGGCUCUAAGGCAUUCUGAAGGAGCCCAAGCAUCAGUAAUAUCUCUGUACCCCUUUCAUGAGACACUUGAACUUGCUUGUGUGGAGUAGAGUGCACUUAACAAACUGCCCUUCUACUGGAUUUACUGACAUGUGCGUGCAUGUGUAUUUGCGUGUGUACUUGUUGUAGUCUGAGAGUACGUGUGCAUCUCAAACAACGCACACACCAGCAUAGGUCCUGGUGCAUAGAUACAUUUGCCUCUUCCCACCAUCAUGCUCAAGACUUGUGGCUCCCUUCCCAGGAAGCAGUCACCUGCCCACUCUGUUGCUUUUUGUAGCAUUUCAGAGUUGGGAGAAACAGAGGCAGCUUGUUGGAUCCACAGCAAACCCACAGUGACAGGCUGUUUGCCUCCAGAAGAAGGUAGAACAGACACACUCAACUGGCAAGUAGACAAGAGGGAACAGCCGUCUGGGGUACCCCUGGCCCCUUUGCGGGGGGUGCAGGAGGGGCACCGAUGCUAGUCAGGCAAGGCCCAUACAGACUUCAGUUUGAGCCAUUCCAUGGCUUAAAGGCCUCCAUUCCUUUCCUCUAUGCAACCCAGUGUGUGCACAAAAACACCCACCCACUUGUAAGUUUUACUCCCAAACUAAAGCUUCCUAAUCCUGCUGGCAUUUGCAGGGAACCAUCAUCAUUCACAAACUGUGUCUCCUGAAACCAAUGUGGCCUUUGUCGAAGUCUUUCCAGGAGUGGGUUGUUUACUAUGUCUAGCAAACCAAUAGACUCUCGGAAGAAUAUUUCGUGGUCAUCUCUAAGAAUUGAUGGCUCCUGCCCAUCUCAAACAUUAAAGUGGAAGCAUGCUCUAGUGUACUAUUCUGAAUAAACAGACCUGGCUGUCAUAGCUGACUUCGAAGGGUGGCCUGGAAAUAGUCGGAUUCAGUUUUCUCACUCCCAUGCCCUUCUUUAGCUGGUUUAUUAUUUUUUGUGAUAUGUGGAUUAUUUCUGCUAACUUACAGAAUUCAGAGGACAUUUUCUUUCCUCUUCUAUUUUGGUGAUUUUCCCCCUCCCCAAUUAAGUAAAGCUACUUACAGUUGCAAUCUUCGUUGUUGGGGUUUUUUUGUUUUGUUUUGUUUUUUGGGUUUUCUUUUUUUUUUUUUUUUUUUUUUACUGUAUUUCUUUUUACUGGAAAAAAAUGAAUUUUUUUUUAAUUAACAGUACUAGUGACUUUGUGGAAGAAUAUGAGUUACUAUUUAGGUAUGCUUACUUAAGUACAGUACACUACAUUGCAGUAUUUCUGAAAGCUAGAACAUACACAUUAUAUAUAACAACUCUAUAUUGAAAUAUAUAUUACAUUAUAUUCAUUUAACUUUUGAAUCUGCCUAUGAUCAUGAGUUGAUUGAAAUAUUAUUUCUUUGCAUUUAUCACCCAUCACCAACCUGCUGCAGUUAAUCUGGUGCAUUUAGUAAUAAUCAUUACUGCUCUAGUUUGCUUUUUAUAUUAUCAGCUUCAGUAUUGUCUUUACAGGAUUUUAGAAUUUUUUUUAAGCUCGGACUUAGCAAAUGUAGGAAAGUGAAAACUUUUUUUAAGAAAAAAUUUUUGUGUGUGUGGCCGACACAAAGAGGUUCAUAGUCAACAUGAUCUUGUUUAGCUGACCCUCUCAGUAUCUCAAGAACAAAAGAAGCGCAUAUGAAUGUAUCUGUGAUUUUCCCCUCUAGGACUGUCACUGUCUAUAUUUGCUUUUAAAAAUAUGACCAAGGGGCCGCUUAACCUCCAUAUGAUCUGACCAGCAAUCACAGGCUGCAUUUCAAAGGGCUGCUCAUCUGAGAAGCAGAAGGCAGUUAAAUCCCUAGUUGUCCCAAACGUAUUUUCAAACAUUGAUUUUUAAUACUGGUUCUUCACUGACUACUUUCUGUUUUCAAUCUGCUUACAAUUAGUCAUCAAUGCUUCCCUGGAGGUAACUCAGCAAUAUAAUAUUUUCCUGAGAGAUUUUUUUUUAUUUGAUGAAAUCAGAAUUUGAGGAACUUUUUCAUGACAGAGGCUGAUAGAACUAGAACUACUCAGAAAUGUAUAGUUCAUUUUUUUAGUCUGCAGAGUUCAUAAAAUGGUGGUUCUUGGGUAUCUGGCCCUCAAUAUCUCUGUUUGUCUGUUAAGGUGGAGAUUUGGUGCCUUUCUUCUUUAACCAGACCAUCGUGAGAACAUCAGAAAUCAGGCAUCCUGUCUUCUUCACAAGAAAUAUUUUCACAUAACAUCUUUAAAGCUUCUUCAGCUUCCCUUGGCUACUCAAUCCAGUGCUUGGAAAACUCCACUGAUGGAUAAACUAUACCUCCCUCCUGGGUUCCUAAGACCAGGCUUAUUCUCUCGGGUCUGCAUUCAGGACAAAAUGAAAACAGCUGUUCAUAAUACUCAGCAUGAGAGCCCUUUCCACACUGAACCACGAUGAAGGCUUCUCAGUGUGAAUAACAUUAAUUCCCUCCUUUCAUCUUUUCCAGGAGAGUUUUCUUUUCCAGCCCCUCCCCUUCCCCCUUCUCCAGCUCCCUUCCACAUUCUCUACUUGUGAAACCCAGGACUCAUUAAGGGACUACCAACUCUAGUCUGCUUCACAGGAGCUAGUAUUGAGUCUAAAAGCAUCAAUCUGUUUCUCCAAAGUUUGCGAUGAAAUCUAGUUCUGCUAGACAAACAUAAUUGUAAAUUGAGGAUUAGGGAAGCUGUUUUUUGGUUGUUGUUUUUUUUUUUUUUCCCAAUGAUUACUUCAUCUCCAAAUUGUAUCUACUUCACUGUUUUCCUCUUUCCUUUUCCUUCUCUUCAUUACUUGUUUCUCUUUAAGACUUUAAAUUACCACUUCCUCUCCCCACUGCCCUGAGAACUCUAAUAAUUAUGACCCUCGGGGCUCAUUUCCCUUCCUUCUUUCUACCCCAUUCUGAAUUCCUCCUUUGAGCUUUAUGUGGCAAGAGUGUUGACGUGAGUGAGCUCCUCACCAGGAGACCCGUAGGCAGACUGGGGGCUGUCUUCACAGUACCUGCAAGUUUUAAAGUUAUCAAUGUUCUUUUGUGAGUGGGAGGACCUGAGUCACAGUUGUAAAUGUCAGCUGUACUAGCUGAGGGUCAUUAAUUCCUUUCAACCUUCACAUUUGGCCAAAGAUAAAGAGAAAAAUAUUUUCUGGUUUCUCUCUCUUUUUUUCAAUACCACAGUGUUCAAAUUCCGGAUAUGAGUAGUCAAUUUCUGAGGGAGAAAAAAAAAUUAUCACUGCUGACUCUCAGCUACUGCUAAUAUUUAGCCAGAUGACAUAUUUACUGGCUACUAGACACAGAAGUCUAAUGAAAGGUGUGAUAUUUCAGAAUAAUUUUGAUAACUGCCCGAGCCUUAGUGAGCUCUUCUAAAACAAGUAAAGCCACUUCUCAAACGUAUCGUAUGGGAUGACUAAGAAUAAAUUUUUUAUUUAUUAUCUUUUUGAAAGACAAAUGAUUGGCUUAUAACUCGAAGUAGGAAUUUACUAAGGGAUAAAAAGAUCCAUAGUUUCUAAAGUGUCUAUUUUGCAACCAGAUUUUUUUUAAACCUGAACUUAAUAUGUGCUUAAAUAAAAUAAUAACAAGGCUGAACAGAUACUUGAUGGGCCAUGUAAUACACUCCCCAGUACCUAAGCAUUCACCAUGUAAUUCGGUCAUCAUGCUAGAUGCCAUUUCAAUGACUUACAACUGUCAGGUUGCCAGAACAUCGCCCAAAGACUGGUACAGCUUUGGGUCUGUCCCUUUACAGGAUGUUUAUGACUUGAUCUUAACAACUCUGCAGGGGUCCCAGUCCAGCACUCUUAUUGUGACACCGCCUUACUGCUCAGCUUCUGUGGCAUUUAGAGCACUACCUGGUUUUGAGCACACAAGGGCAUGCUUUCAUUUCUUACUGUAUCCACUGACAGACAGAAGCAACAUUAAUAUCAGAAAUGUAUUCUUAAUUAGACUUGAGGCAUGAGCCAGAUUUUAUCUUAGUCAAGCCAGUUUUUCACAUCAUCUCACACUGCAGAGAGCAAUGAGAUAAAGACGUUCAGGAGUUACCUGGUGGCUCUCUGGGUUAAGGAUCUGGCAUUGUCCCUGCUAUGGUUCUGGUGCAGGUUUGAUCCCUGGCCCCAGAACUUUGCAUGCUGAGGGCAUAGCCAAAAAAUAUAUAGAAAAGCACUCAAGUCAACACAUUUUUUAAAAAUAAAUUAAAAGAGGUUCAAAAGCCUUUCCAAGUUUCUAUUCUCAUAGGAAAUCAGAACUUCUUAAAGCCAGUAUUUAUGUUGCCUAGGGCUAUGAUCUUCAUUUCACACAUUCUUCCCAUUAUUUCUAUCUCCUUGCUGUCCUUUGUCUGUUCUGAUUUCCUCUAUCUUUUUUUUUAAAGUACUCUUCAUCUGAAGUACUCCUCUCCUCAGCCUUUGGCUUCUCAAAGAAUAAAAGACUCUCUUUUAAAUCCUAAGUAGCAUCAUGUAAAGUAUAAUGUGGAGGAGGAGAGGAUCCAGUUCUGAUAGGUCCCGUGUGGUCCAGUUUAUCACAAGGAUUCCUCCAGAAUGCCUUCUUGACAUUGUUCAUUCUAGUUCCCCAAGAAGGGCUCUAACCCUGAGACCUGGGAUUUCUCACUACAACCUCUGCAUUAGUCUAGAUUAAUGUCUAAAGCCUGUUUAAUAUUCUGGAGACUCCAGGAUGUGAAUUUCUUAUUGCUUAUGAGCCUCCUGCUUUUCUAAGCUGACACCUGUCAGGAGCACCAGUAGCCCUCACAGUAACUAAUGCAGCAGAAUAAUGGUCAGAAACAUUAUAGUAUGUAUUGGGGAGGAUAAGAAGAGAUUUGUUUCUUUUCCUCCAUUCAGAGCUUGCUUUCUCCCCCAUCCCACCCCACCCCUGCCACCACAAUGCAUUUCAGAAACUCUGCAUCUCAUUUUACAGAUAUGUAGUUUUAGGAUUUGCAAAUAUAGCUUAGGAAAUGUUCCGAGAUUGAGGCUGGUAGCAAACCAGUUUAUUUUCUGCACUGGACUUUAGGACAAGUGUGCACAGAUACAAUUCCUUCAAAGAAAGUGAAACUAACAUAGUAAAGCAAAGGGAUAAUACUUUUACACAUUAAAACAGUUGUUUGCUAUCUGUAAACCUUGAUGUAAGCAUAAUUACUACUUUUUAGAAACCUAAAACUGGAGGAAUGUGUAUUUUAGUAAAGUUUGUUUGU